UAACAGGCUGAAGUUGAUUUUUAUUCAUACCCUCUUUUGUUCUCCCCCAUGUUGAAAUGUUUGGGGAAAUGUUUUUCUACUUUUCCCCAAGAAAAAAAAAUCAUUCUUAAAAAAGAAAAACAACCACAACUGAACAUUUUACUUUGUUUCCAGGCAGCAUAUUUACCGGGGGAGAAAACACCUCAGAUUUCAAGGAAAAGCAGUGGAUUGAUUGAUGAAUACUGGGGCUAUUUUUAAAUAUCUUUGUUAAUGAUGAAUUGUGCAAAAACAAAAGUUGUUUGAGGUAUCGGUAACAGUCAAAUUAUGUCCUUUUUUUGUACACUAAAACUUCUUAAAUAGCAUGGUAGAGUAGAAAUAGGAAACACCGCCGACCUUGAUCAGCUCAACAUGUGAACUGAUGUCUUCCUGUAUUUCUAUUUCUUUAUCUUUUGCCUUUUUUUUCAACCUGCAAUAGCAAUAAAAGGUAGAAGCAUUUCAAUAAAGAAAUUAGAGCAACGUUUCUUUAAUUUAUUCACACGUUUGUUUUCUUUCCUGUAAAAUCACCCCUUGAUGGGUGAGUGACAUAAUGAAUGUUUCACACCUACAGACAGAAAAAAGAAAACAAAUCAGCUGAAAUACAAUCACUGAUAAAUAAAAACAAUAGCCUACCAUCAGAGAAAUCCACACACAGUGGGGAUAGUCUGGUUCCUUAAAAUCUGAGUUAUCAGUUUGUAGCUUUAAGCGCAACAGUAAGGAUUGGAUUAUAAUGAAAAAGAAACUGCUCUCUGAUGAGGGAUUUGUUACAGAAAAAAGGUUUACAUUAGGACUGACAUUUAAUGUGAUUCACAAAUUCAUAAACUUUUUUUUCCGCAGAGCAAAUACCCACUUAUUUCCGAUCUCUUAGCCUCUGGUCUACCAACCAAGACCAGGUUUUCACAUCAUAACAAUAUCAACAUCAUUUAACUCAAAGUUGAUCUAGUAAUUCUAUUUCUAUUUCACAGUGCAUCUGUAUCCCAAAUGACAAAGACUGAAAUCAACUGCUCUGUAAAACUCCGCAAAUAACAACACUUAGCACGUCACAGAACACAGAGUUGUCUAAGUCAAGGUUUCCCUUCAGCCUCCACCAUUUUCAAAUUGUCAUAAAAACAGGGUGUACAACCUUCAUGAACACUUACAGUAUGAAGUUAACCCUUCAUAACCCACUGAGCCGACACAGCAAUGACACAAAGUUCACAGUUAGUGUCGAUGAAGGCCGCGUCAGACAAGCUAAGCACGAUGCUAACAUCAGCGUGAAAAUAUGGCAAACAAAAAUACGGCUGUUAUGUUGAAGUAAAGCAGCUGUGACAUGACCUGGGUCUUGUGAUGGGGCAUACUUUGCUUGAAUCCCAAAUACAAAACAAAUGUUCAAUGAAAAAUGGAGCUGUAACAAAGUAAAGUGAUGCUAAUGCUAGUGGGUACCAGUAGACAACAAUUAGCCAACUUAGCAUUCAGGGUGUAAACUCCUAGCUAGCCUUAAUUUUCAUUUCAUAUAAGUUUAUUUUUAUUAAUUUUAUCCUUCCCCAUGGUGUUGUAUAACAGCUAGCUAUAUCCUUGCUAACAUAGGCAUUAAAUAGUGUUACACAGCACAAAGGGAAAGGUGUAAACUGAACUAGAUGCUAAUGCUAGUGGGUACCAGUGGAUAGCAGCUAGCCAACUUAGCAUUCAGGAUCUAAACUCCUAGCUAGCCUCAAUUUUUACUUCAUAUUAAUUUAAUUUACCAAUUGUACCCUUUCCUUCCCCAUGGUGUUGCAUAACAGCUAGCUAUGUCCUUGCUAACAUAAGCAUUUAACCGUGUUACACAGUAGGCUACAAAGGGAAAGGUGUAAAUUGAACUAGAAACGUUCACCUUGAAAGCUGCUGUUAGCUGUUGUCUACCUAACAGGUUGUUGUUUUUCACUGAAAUGCUGCCCUGUAUAAUCCAGAAGCUGAAAAAUAGCAUAGAAUUUUUACAUAACCUGUUAACAUGACAUUAAACCUGGAAUACAGCAGAAUAAAAUGACGCUAGUAGCGUAAAAUAUGACUGUAUUUUGACACACAAGAGAAAAUGAUCCCAAAUUACUGUUGCCUGCCUUUUCAGUCUGUUAUUACCCCUCACGUCAAUCAUAACUCUUUUUCUGCUUUUUUAUAUUCAUGAGUAAAGCCAUCAGCUGUCCAAAAUGUUGAAUAAAAACAAUUCGAGACAAGUCUGAAAGGAGGUUUGAACAAUUUUGUAAGUUUUGCAUUUAUAGGGUUUUUUUCAACAACAUCCAGAUUGAAAAGGUCCUUUUAGAGUCUGAAUUUGUGAUAGUGGAAGAACAUAAGGCCUUUACUAGGAACCAAAGCUUCACUCAGGGAACAAUGCUUCCCGUAUAUUAACAUAGUAAAUAUGAUUAGAAUGAAAUCAUAUUAAGUGUAAAAGAGGAUGUUAAUCCAGUCAGUUUUUUUCCAUUUAUGCCCAAGUAAGAUACUCAGUGCAGCUGCAGCUUACACGUCAGAACUGGCAUUAAUCUCCACAUAACAGGCAUUGGAAC
rnacentral:lncRNA from 1 species